GUUGACCUCGGAUCAGGUAGGGAUACCCGCUGAACUUAAGCAUAUCAAUAAGCGGAGGAAAAGAAACCAACAGGGAUUGCCCUAGUAACGGCGAGUGAAGCGGCAAGAGCUCAAAUUUGAAAUCUGGCCCUCUCAGGGUCCGAGUUGUAAUUUGUAGAGGGCGCUUUGGCGUCGGCCACGGCCUAAGUUCCUUGGAACAGGACGUCACAGAGGGUGAGAACCCCGUACGUGGCCGCUGGCCUUCGCCGUGUAAAGCCCCUUCGACGAGUCGAGUUGUUUGGGAAUGCAGCUCUAAAUGGGAGGUAAAUUUCUUCUAAAGCUAAAUACUGGCCAGAGACCGAUAGCGCACAAGUAGAGUGAUCGAAAGAUGAAAAGCACUUUGGAAAGAGAGUCAAAAAGCACGUGAAAUUGUUGAAAGGGAAGCGCUUGCAGCCAGACUUGCCUGUAGUUGCUCACCCGAGCCACCGGCUCGGUGCACUCUUCUGCGGGCAGGCCAGCAUCAGUCCGGGCGGUCGGAUAAAGGCCUCGGGAAUGUAGCUCCCCUCGGGGAGUGUUAUAGCCCGGGGUGCCAUGCGACCAGCCUGGACUGAGGUCCGCGCAUCUGCUAGGAUGCUGGCGUAAUGGCUGUAAGCGGCCCGUCUUGAAACACGGACCAAGGAGUCUAACAUCUAUGCGAGUGUUUGGGUGUCAAGCCCGGGCGCGCAAUGAAAGUGAACGGAGGUGGGAACCCCUCGGGGCGCACCAUCGACCGAUCCUGAUGUCUUCGGAUGGAUUUGAGUAAGAGCAUAGCUGUUGGGACCCGAAAGAUGGUGAACUAUGCCUGAAUAGGGUGAAGCCAGAGGAAACUCUGGUGGAGGCUCGCAGCGGUUCUGACGUGCAAAUCGAUCGUCAAAUUUGGGCAUAGGGGCGAAAGACUA
rnacentral:rRNA from 1 species